CCUGCUGCGCUCUUGCCCCGCCCUCCGCGUCCUGGCCGGUGCGGCCUGUGACGCGCCCGCGUCUCGCGGUGGCGCCCCCUCUGCCCGUUCCUCCUGCGCCGGGCCGCGGCUGUCUGCGCCUCGCGGUGUCCCAGCCCCUCGCGCUAGCGCCGGGGCUCUGGGGCGGGCUCAGCUGUCCAGUUAACGUGCUCGUCUGCAGGAAUUCUUGGGGUCUUGUGCCUUUUUUGAGAAUACCCGUAUUGCUACUUAGGAAAGUGUCGCUUUGCGCCAGCCCUGACUCCACAAAGGAAGGGACAGCAGUGCAGACUCGCUGCUCAGCCGGGAUGAAAGUUCACGGGGUUCAGAGGGACACGCUUGGGCUGGUUCCAUCUGGGUGAAUUAAAUGACCUUCGCGUGGGCCCCAGGAACCAAGACGGGAGUCCUGGGCACUGCGGCCACUAAGGGUGGUUUCUAACAGAAACCUGAGUUUGCGAUGAGAAGGGUAUGGCCCGAGAAGUAGCUUGGGUCUCUCCAGCUAAAUAAACAAUGGUGGAAUCCGUGCUUAAGAGCUGGGCUCAGGGUGGGGCGCGGUGGCUCAGGCCUGUAGUGCCAGCACUUUGGAAGCCAGAGGCGGGAGGAUCACUUGAGGCCAGGAGUUCCAAGUUCAGCCUGGAGAACAUAGGGAGACCCAUCUCUACCAAAAAAAGAAAUAAUUUUUUUUUUUUUUUUUUAAUUAGCCAGGUAUGAUGGCGUGCCUAUAGUUUCAGCUACCAGGAGGCUGCGGUGGGAGAACUGCUUGAGCCCAGCAGGUCAAGACUGCAGUGAGCUGUCAGCCUGGGCGACAGAAUGCAUUCCUUUCAAAUCUAAACCAAACCAAAAAAAAAAGCUGGGCUCUGAAGCCAGGCUGUCUAAUGUGAUUCCAAGGCUCAGCAGAUGAAGAUGACAGUCCUACCUGAUAGGAUUGUUGGCGAGAUGAAAUGACUUAAUUUGAGCACAUGAUAAAUGUUAGUUGCCGUUAUUAUUAGAUUUGUAUUGAAAGCAUCGUCAGUAAGGUUAAGAGGUAGAAGGAAAAAAAUGAACAGGAAAUGCCAGUCAUCAGCUAAGAGGGGAUGUGCACUUCUGCUGAAAGAUGCUCUAAUGAUGCAGUUGCUAUAUACGGCACACUUUACAUAUCUCAUUCCAUCUCCACAAUACUCCUAGGAGAUAGAUAUGCACAUUUUACACAUGAAGACCACCUGCAAAAGCAUCCAGAAUUUGGCCUAAGGCUGAAUGGAGUGAGAAAGGCGUUUGGAGACCAAGAAGGGGGAGUUUAAGACUCUCCAGGUGCUGUUUUCAGAACGUGAUUUGGAGCCUCGAGGGUACUACAUGCCUGUGGAAUGGGCUGACAUGGCCCUGAUAAUCAAGGGCCAGUGUGCCCUGGCACCCUGGUGUGGUUAGACCGAGGGGUGUCCAGGAAAGUCCAUGAACACAAGGGAUGUUCCCUGAAAUAUGCCUGUACAUUGGUUGUGAACCUUUUUCCUACUGAGAUGGUGAAAUUGUGAUGUUAGAAUAUGUGUAGUCAUGAAUGAAGACCAACCAACCAACAUCAAAACAAAUCUAUGCUUUCAAAUAAAGGUUGCUUUUGAGUGGCAAUAAAGAUCUAUUUGGAAAUGCUGCAGGUUGUUCCUUGCAUUUCUAACUGUACUGUCAGCUAGUAUUUGCUCCCAUAUUUCCCCCAGAAGUCAGCCCAUAGCUCUUCCCGAGGCUUGAUAAUGCACUUUGGGACUUACUUAAGCUAUUGUUUCUGUGCUGUGACCUCA